rnacentral:lncRNA from 1 species
CCUUCAACAUAAAAUCUAUGUGGGACAAGCCUAACAUCUACUUACAUCUAUCCCUAUAGAUGUCAAGAAAUAUUGGAUGCUUAACCCAAGUCUUUUUCAUGAAAAUAUUUGUGAUAAGCAAAUUAUUGACCGAGUGUAAUAUUGGGACUAUCUUUCCAAUAUGCAGUAUGUCACCCACAUACAAAAUCAAGAAGUUAGUGGACUCCCACCCAUAUGAUUCAUCUAUUUUUGAUAAAAUCAAAUAUUUUAACUAUCAAAAAUAGAGGUACCAUCUCCUCAAUAUCUGUCUAAAUUCAUAAAUGUAUUUGCCCUCCCACUAGAAACAACUUCUCUAGAUGAAGUGUGGCAAUAGCAAAAAUUCGAAUAGACAUUCCUGACAGCAACCUG